rnacentral:tRNA from 1 species
GCGGGUGUGUAUGCAGUUGGUAGACAUAGCGGUCUCAAAAGCCGCCGCCUUAAAUGGCUCGUAGGGUUCGAAUCCCUCUGCCCGCA